rnacentral:rRNA from 1 species
UGCAAGUCGAACGAACUCUGGUAUUGAUUGGUGCUUGCAUCAUGAUUUACAUUUGAGUGAGUGGCGAACUGGUGAGUAACACGUGGGAAACCUGCCCAGAAGCGGGGGAUAACACCUGGAAACAGAUGCUAAUACCGCAUAACAACUUGGACCGCAUGGUCCGAGCUUGAAAGAUGGCUUCGGCUAUCACUUUUGGAUGGUCCCGCGGCGUAUUAGCUAGAUGGUGGGGUAACGGCUCACCAUGGCAAUGAUACGUAGCCGACCUGAGAGGGUAAUCGGCCACAUUGGGACUGAGACACGGCCCAAACUCCUACGGGAGGCAGCAGUAGGGAAUCUUCCACAAUGGACGAAAGUCUGAUGGAGCAACGCCGCGUGAGUGAAGAAGGGUUUCGGCUCGUAAAACUCUGUUGUUAAAGAAGAACAUAUCUGAGAGUAACUGUUCAGGUAUUGACGGUAUUUAACCAGAAAGCCACGGCUAACUACGUGCCAGCAGCCGCGGUAAUACGUAGGUGGCAAGCGUUGUCCGGAUUUAUUGGGCGUAAAGCGAGCGCAGGCGGUUUUUUAAGUCUGAUGUGAAAGCCUUCGGCUCAACCGAAGAAGUGCAUCGGAAACUGGGAAACUUGAGUGCAGAAGAGGACAGUGGAACUCCAUGUGUAGCGGUGAAAUGCGUAGAUAUAUGGAAGAACACCAGUGGCGAAGGCGGCUGUCUGGUCUGUAACUGACGCUGAGGCUCGAAAGUAUGGGUAGCAAACAGGAUUAGAUACCCUGGUAGUCCAUACCGUAAACGAUGAAUGCUAAGUGUUGGAGGGUUUCCGCCCUUCAGUGCUGCAGCUAACGCAUUAAGCAUUCCGCCUGGGGAGUACGGCCGCAAGGCUGAAACUCAAAGGAAUUGACGGGGGCCCGCACAAGCGGUGGAGCAUGUGGUUUAAUUCGAAGCUACGCGAAGAACCUUACCAGGUCUUGACAUACUAUGCAAAUCUAAGAGAUUAGACGUUCCCUUCGGGGACAUGGAUACAGGUGGUGCAUGGUUGUCGUCAGCUCGUGUCGUGAGAUGUUGGGUUAAGUCCCGCAACGAGCGCAACCCUUAUUAUCAGUUGCCAGCAUUAAGUUGGGCACUCUGGUGAGACUGCCGGUGACAAACCGGAGGAAGGUGGGGAUGACGUCAAAUCAUCAUGCCCCUUAUGACCUGGGCUACACACGUGCUACAAUGGAUGGUACAACGAGUUGCGAACUCGCGAGAGUAAGCUAAUCUCUUAAAGCCAUUCUCAGUUCGGAUUGUAGGCUGCAACUCGCCUACAUGAAGUCGGAAUCGCUAGUAAUCGCGGAUCAGCAUGCCGCGGUGAAUACGUUCCCGGGCCUUGUACACACCGCCCGUCACACCAUGAGAGUUUGUAACACCCAAAGUCGGUGGGGUAACCUUUUAGGAACCAGCCGCCUAAGGUGACAGAU